UGCAGGCAACGGAUUGUCUAGCGUUUAAUGUACAGCGCCAGCACAUCUCAACACCUGCGCAAAGCACAGGCGACAAUAGGCGAAAGCGCAGUCAUGAAAUUCACGGCUGGGCCUCUGUUGAUUGCUCACA
rnacentral:snoRNA from 1 species